AUUCCAGCUCCAAUAGCGUAUAUUAAGGUUGUUGCAGUUAAAAAGCUCGUAGUUGGAUUUCGGGAUGAGAAGCAUGGUCUACCGAAAGGUGUGUACUAGGCGGCUCAUUCUUCCUUCUGUAGACCUCUGUGGUUCUUGAUUGGAUUGCAGAGUGGAUGCAGAACGUUUACUUUGAAUAAAUUAGAGUGUUCAAAGCAGGCAUUUGCUUGAAUACAUUAGCAUGGAAUAAUGGAAUAGGACUUUGGUUCUAUUUUGUUGGUUUCUAGGACCGAAGUAAUGAUUAAUAGGGAUAGUUGGGGGCAUUAAUAUUUAAUUGUCAGAGGUGAAAUUCUUGGAUUUAUGAAAGAUCAACUUCUGCGAAAGCAUUUGCCAAGGAUGUUUUCAUUG
rnacentral:rRNA from 1 species